ensembl:snRNA U4 U4 spliceosomal RNA
UACUUUGCACAGUGGCAGUAUCAUAGCCAAUGAGGUUAUCCGAGGAAAGAUUAUUGCUAAUUGAAAACUUUUCCCAAUACCCUGCCAUGAUGAUUUGAAAUAGUCUGCACUGGCAAUUUUUGAUAGUCUCUAUGGAGA